AGUAUUUUUAUACAGAUUAGAAGAUAUUGUUUUCUUCAAAGAAUUAAAAAAAAACAUAUUUUGCUUUGGGAUAUGGUCAGCCAUAUAACUUGUUAAUUGAAUGGUCAUGAAAUAAUGUUCAUGUCCAUUCUCUCAAUGAUUCUGCUUUUAUAUUUUGCAUACUUCUUAAGCAACAUGAACCCAACCUAUAAAUAAGAGCGGACAACUUUAUCAAGCAUUUUGUAAGAAUUAUGGUCCUUUUUUCACUUAGAAUAUGCAUAUUAUUGAUAAAUUUAUGUUAAAGUUUGCGUACCACCUCAAAUAUUUGUUAUGUCCAUUAACAUAUUGCUUUCAUAUUGAGUAUACUUCUUUACCAACAUGACCCCAAUCUAUAAACAGGAGCAGACAACUGUAACAGGCAUUUUGUAAGAAUUAUGGCUCUUUUUCCACUUAGAAUAUGCAUACUAUUGAUAAAUCUAUGUUAAAGUUUGCGUACCACAUCAAAUAUUUUCUAUGUUCAUUGUAAUAUUGCUUUUAUAUUUUUCAUACAUCUUGACCAACAUGACCACAAUCUAUAAUCAAGAGCAGACAACUAUAUCAAGCAUUUUGACCCCAUACAAUCACACAUCUUUACACAGCUGAACAACAACAGGCCUUCUGGACAUCCAAGGACAAUGGCUUGGUAAAGGUGUCAAGCUCUUGGGUCAGGAAUUUUGGGUAAAGCUGCUACCCCCAGGGUACAGCCAGUCUAUCCAUGGAACUCCAAACUUCCCUGCUCAGGGGCCAAGACUACCUCAUCUACAAGGGACCUUAUCCUUACAAGUUCAGUCCCAGAGAAAAAUGUUACCCAACUGCAACACAGGCAAUACAUCUCAACAGAAUGUUCAUCUUGACAAUAUCUAAGCAAAGUUCAAAAUUGAAUUCCGAUCUUGCACCAGGUCGAGUCUUCUACCAAAGUUUAAUGUUUAACUCAGGUCCGUCAGUCUCUUGUGUAACAACCGAAGCUAAAGAUGAAGUGCCACAGAGAGAAAUAGAGGUCACAACAGUAAGACAUGCAGAUAUUGCUGCUUCAGUCUCAAUAGCAACAUAAGCAGCAGCAGAAGCAAAAGCAGCAACAACACCCACAAUUCAACAAUCAACAGUGCCAUUGCUGAGCUCUUUCAAAUGUCGAGGAUCACCCAAAACCACUCGGUGCCAAGCAAUGAAAUUAUCAGCUGCCACCUUGACUUGACCACUGUACACACCUGGGAGUCAGGUUUAAGGUCACAUCAGCUUAAAUGUUCAUGGCAGUAAGAAAAUGUAAGAUCUUAAAGGGACUUGUUCACAGAUUGUGUGGUUAACAAGAUGACUGAACAACAUGGCAUCAAUGGCAAGGAAGAAGUGAUCUGGGGGGGUAAUCACGUGCAAGUCAAGAUGCCGCUCACUUUCCAGCCAUAACAAAAACCCUGAUUGCAAAGCGUAGAGUCUGCUCCGGAAGCAUUUGCACACAAGGCACAAACAUCAGCUGCAAUAAUCGUCUUGAUAUUCUGUCAUCGCCAUGGUGCAUGACCCUCAGUCUAUGAACAUAGGGAACCUUGGACACCCAUGGACGAAAGAAAACUGGCCAAUCAGAAUUACAGCCUGUUGCAGCAGUGGUUACCAUAUUUACCCCAGUCAAACCUAAGAAGCUCAGAGAUAUAUACUGUUUAAGUUGUGCUAGUCUCUACAUACCUCCUGGUAUGUUCAGCACUUACUCUCACAGGUUUCAUCUUUGAAUUUUGUGACGGAUGGAAAUUAAAUGAACUUGUUCAGAUCGAAAUGGCAGAAUGACAUAUCACAACAAGUCAAGUUGAAAGCCAGAAAGUCAUGUCAACAGCCACAUUUCUUAUGUGACCAGCCAAGUUGUAUUCAAAGGACAACACAAGUAUAUGUUUUAUGGGAAAUAUGAUGCUCUCAGUCAUUUUAUGUUGAAAAUUUUGGUAAAAUAUAGUAUGUAAAAAUUAUUAUCGUAAGCACACAUAUUACAAGUCUAUCCAAUGUCUCUGUCUGUAUUAUGAAACUUUUACUACAGAUUUUGAUCCUGAUAAUGCUACAAUUUUAUUUUAAUAUUGUCAAAGCUGUUUUAAUGAUGCUGGUAACUGUAAUGAAACAUGUUUUCUGUUUUUUACCAGUAAUAUAGAUGUGCUACUUAAAAAAAUUCUUCAGAAAGGCUGAGAGUUAUGAAAUAUCGGUAUUGUCUGUCUAUCAAUCUUUCUGAAACAAUAUAAGUCGAUUGGCUCACCCGGGUCAGUAUUCGAUCAAGAAUCUUGUUUAGUAGCAUAAUAUUUCAUGGGAAUACAUGUAUAAAUAAAUUCUGGGAAAAAUCAUUUAAUCUACCUAACAUUAUUGAUUCUGUAUUUACUACCAGUACUUGGUUGAUUUCAAUGGCUGCAGUUUGUUAAAUGAUUAGAGUAUGACUCUUGUGUUAUUGGGAAAGCUUUUUAUGUAAAUGAGAAUUAAACAAAUAUGAAAGUAUUUUAUGAAAAAUGGCAAAAGUUAUGAUUGUUAAAUUGUGUUGUUAUAUCAUAGACUUACAUGCUGGUAAGUUUUAAAGUUUGUUUUUUGACAUACCGGUAACAGUUUAUUAUGCCAUAUAUUUGUAUAUGCGCAUUGAGACAACCCUCUUAAAUCAGUGAGUACACCUGUAUCUUAACCAAGAUUUCUGAUCACUGUAUAUAGGUAUAUUUUGCCAUGUAUACUGCAAAACAAUUGUAUGUUCAGUAUAAACUGUUUAUUUAAUGUUGCCAUUUUUAUAAGAUAAACUCACUGUUUUCAUUUAUUUGUACAAACAAUUGUUCUAAAACAACAUUUCUUGUGUAAAUGCUCAUAUACGUAUUAAACUGUUAAAAAUGCAGCAUGACAUAUUUUGAAGAGAAAAAGAUAGUUAAGGCAAUAUAAACACCUUGUUAUAUGCAAUGUUUUUCAUUGAAUGAAUUUUAGCAACUAUUUAAAAUGUAUUUUUUUUUACAUAAACCUUGAAAUUUUAAAUCAGUCAAUUAAAAUUAAGGGAGAGUGAUGUCAUAUGCUAACAAUUGCCAAGAAUUGCAAUGGCCUCUAUUGGCAAUAUAAGCGAGUACUAUUAUUUGCAAAAGAUAUCUAUUUUGUUAGAUAAUAAUUGUCUUUUACAACUCGACAUAACAAGUAAAUACAUUUCUAAUUAUUUCGCACUAUAUACUCGGCUAUAGGUGAAUGUCUAAAAGGAUUUUGUGGAAUAAACACUUUAGAAAAUAUAUGCUUGUUUCAGGAAGUAAUAGUUUAGGUAAAAUGUGAUACUUAUUGUUACAUAAACACCAAGUGUAAUAACAAAAUGCAUCAGUAAUGACAUUAUUUGAAAAAUUACAUUUGCAUGAUCACACAAUGUGUAAAGUUGUGUAAAUAUGACGUUUAUGAAUUGUGUAUAUUUCAACAAUAAUAUUAUACUUGUAUUUAAAGUACUUGAUAAGUAUUGACGUAGAUCUAUUGCUAUUAGAGAAUUGUAUCAUUUAGCUAGUUUGGUUACAGUUUGUGUAACGUUGACCAGUCCACAUAGCUGUCAGUGGAGUGAAUUCACUGGGGUUCAAUUUCCGUAAUUCUCCUAGUUUAAAACUUCAGCAUACACAUAUGUCUUAAAUCCAGAUUUCCCUAAAAUUGUGGUUGUUUAUAUUGAACUUUUAUUGAAUGCAUGUGACAUGUUUGUUCUUUUGUUGAACGACUGAAAAUAACUUUAUAUGUAUAAAUUGUGUGUCAUGUUUAGAUAUUGUCAUGUUUAGAUAAAUCAAAUUGAUAAAUAGAAAACAAAAUAAAAAAUUUGCAAUAAUUUGUAUGCAUGCUUAGCCCCCAAAAAUGUUAUCAUACAAGCUUAUUGGUAUUGGACUUUGUUUGUACUUUAAGAUGAAAUGUUUCAAUCAUGUGUGAUUUUUAUCAUUUACGUUAAAUAAACAUUUUCCAUUAGUAGAUAUAGGGUGUAUAAACUCUUAUGUAGACUUCUUUUUAAUUGCUUUUGUAAAUAUCUUCAAUAUUUGACAUUACUGUUAAGGUUUUUUUUAGCUCGCCUGUUUUCGGAAAAAAAACGAGGUAUUGUCAUAGCCAGCUCGUUGUGUCGUCCGACGUCCGCGUCGUGCUAAAACCUUUAAAUUUUGCUCUAAAAUCAAAGUGCAUCCACCUAAAACUUUGAAACUUCAUAUGUAGAUGCACAUUGAUGAGUUCUACACGCCACACCUAUUUUGCGGUCACUAGGUCAAAGGUCAAGGUUGCAGUGACCUCUUAAAAAAACAAAUUCGUACAAGCUUUCGUUCAUUCGAAACUGCACCCGCAGCCGAGCGUGGCACCCAUUAUGGGGUGCUCUUGUUAUAGUAAACAUGUACAUGUUUCUCUAAACUGUAAACAGGUGUCUGUUUAAGUUAUUGUGAUUUGUUAAUUUUGUAUUGCUAAUUAAAUGAAAUAUUGUGUAUAGUCUGGCAUUGUUGUUGUUAUUAGACAAAGCACAUUCCAUUACUCAUGUUUAUUUUCAUUUUUAUUUUCGUCCACUAUUUCUAUAACCAGUGUUUUGUCUGUAGAAGUUACAAUAUACUUAAUAUUGCAGUUGUCCAAUGCAAUAUGCUUUACUUUCUAAAUAAAUCAACACCAUUUA